AUAUUGCACAAUGGGGGAAACCCUGAUGCAGCGACGCCGCGUGAGUGAAGAAGUAUCUCGGUAUGUAAAGCCCUAUCAGCAGGAAAGAUAAUGACGGUACCUGACUAAGAAGCCCCGGCUCCCUACCUGCCAGCAGCCGCGGGAAUACGUAGGGGGCAAGCGUUACCCGGAUUUACUGGGUGUAAAGGGAGCGUAGACGGCAGCGCAAGUCUGGAGUGAAAUGCCGGGGCCCAACCCCGGAACUGCUUUGGAAACUGUGCGGCUCGAGUGCGGGAGAGGUAGGCGGAAUUCCUAGUGUAGCGGUGAAAUGCGUAGAUAUUAGGAGGAACACCAGUGGCGAAGGCGGCUUACUGGACCGUAACUAACGUUGAGGCUCGAAAGCGUGGGGAGCAAAC
rnacentral:rRNA from 1 species